rnacentral:rRNA from 1 species
CCAAGGGCGUACGGUGAAUGCCUUGGUGCCGACAGGCGAAGAAGGACGCGAUAAGCUGCGAAAAGCCUCGGGGAGCUGCAAAUGAGCUACGAUCCGGGGGUAUCCGAAUGGGGUAACCUAACCGGGGGAAAGCCCGGUUGACGUUGUCUGAAUACAUAGGACAACGAUCGCGAGACCCGCUGAAGUGAAACAUCUCAGUAAGCGGAGGAAAAGAAAGAGAAAUCGAUUCCGUAAGUAGUGGCGAGCGAAAGCGGAAGAGCCCAAACCGAAAGUACUUCUUUCGGGGUUGUAGGACCACGCCAUGAUCGAUCAUGAAAGAUAGCAGAACAGUUUGGAAAGACUGGCCGGAGAGAGUGAAAGCCUCGUAAGCGAAAUCUUUUGUGAGAUCUAGUGGACUCCUGAGUAAUACACCACACGUGGAACGGUGUAUGAAUCCGCGCGGACCACCGCGCAAGGCUAAAUACUAGUCGGCGACCGAUAGUGAACAAGUACCGCGAGGGAAAGGUGAAAAGAACCGCUGUGAGCGGAGUGAAAUAGAACCUGAAACCGUAUGUCUACAAAGUGUCAGAGCAGCGCAAGCUGCGAUGGCGUGCCUUUUGUUUAAUGAGUCUGCGAGUCAGUGUCUGUGGCAAGACUAAGGGCUUCCGGCCCGGAGUCGAAGCGAAAGCAAGUCCGAACAGGGCGGUUUUUAGUCGCAGGUACUGGACCCGAAGCGGAGGUGACCUACCCUUGGCCAGGUUGAAGCGUCGGUAAAACGCCGUGGAGGACCGAACAGGUGAACGUUGAAAAGUUCUCUGAUGAGCUGAGGGUAGGAGUGAAAGGCUAAUCAAACCCCGUGAUAGCUGGUUCUCUUCGAAAUGCAUUUAGGUGCAGCGUUACGUGCUGAUGUGCGGGGGUAGAGCACUGACAAGGCUAGGGGGCACACCCGCCUACCAACCCUUAUCAAACUCCGAAUACCGCACAAUGGAGCGUAGCAGUGAGACAGUGGGGGAUAAGCUUCAUUGUCGAGAGGGAAACAACCCAGACCAGCAGCUAAGGUGCCCAAACAACGUUGAGUGGAAAGGAUGUGGGAUUACACAGACAGUGAGGAUGUUGGCUUAGAAGCAGCCACCAUUUAAAAAAUGCGUAAUAGCUUACUCAUCGAGUGAUCCUGCGCCGAAAAUGAUUGGCGAUGAAACGUUGUACCGAAGCUCUGGAUUUCUCCUGCAAGGGAGGAGUGGUAGAAGAGCGUUCCGUGUACGUUGAAGGGCGAUGGCGACUGACCCUGGAGAGCACGGAAGUGAGUAUGCAGACAUGAGUAACGUUAAGCCGGGUGAAAUCCCCGGCCGCCGUAAACCCGAGGUUUCCAGGGCAACGAGAUUCGUCCCUGGGUUAGCCGGGACCUAAGCCGAGGCCGAGAGGCGUAGGCGAUGGACAUCAGGUUAAUAAUCCUGAGCUUCCGACCCUUAAACUGGGGGGACGCAUGAGUAGAGAUGGACAGGUUAUUGAAUUCCGAGGCCGGUUUACGGACUGGCCGCACCAUCAAAGCGAGUGCCAAGAAAAGCCCCAGCGUAUGCUAAGGAACCCGUACCGCAAACCGACACAGGUGGGUGGGUAGAAUAUACCAAGGCGCAAGAGUGAACUCUGGUUAAGGAACUCGGCAAAUUAGCCCCGUAACUUCGGAAGAAGGGGUGCCUGCAGAGAUGCAGGCCGCAGAGAAAUGGCCCAACCGACUGUUUAUCAAAAACACAGCACUCUGCAAAGACGCAAGUCGAAGUAUAGGGUGUGACACGUGACCAAUGCCGAAAGAUUAAGGCAAGGUGUUAGCCGCAAGGCGAAGCUCUGAACCCAAGUCCCGGUGAAUGUCGGCCGUAACUAUAACGGUCCUAAGGUAGCGAAAUUCCUUGUCGGGUAAGUUCCGACCUGCACGAAUCGUGAAACGAGUUGGGCACUGUCUCAACCAGACGCUCAGUGAAAUUGUAGUGGCGGUGAAGAUGCCGCCUACCCGCAGAAGGACGGAAAGACCCUAUAGACCUUAACUGUAAGCUGUCAUUGUUUCUUCGGUCUCAAUGCUCAGAGUAAGUGGGAGACGUUGAAGCCGGCCUUUAGGGGCCGGAAGAGUCAUCAAUGAGACACCACCCUUUGAGACUGGAGAAUCUAACGCUGAGCCGUGAAACCGGCCAGGGGACCGUGUCAGCCGGUCAGUUUUACUGGGGCGGUAUCCUCCCAAAGAGUAACGGAGGAGCGCGAAGGUUGGUUCAGCGCGGUUGGCAACCGCGUGACGAGUGCAUGGGCAUAAACCAGCCUAACUGUGAGACCGACAAGUCGAUCAGAUGCGAAAGCAGGCCCAAGUGAUCCGGCGGUAGAAAGUGGAAUUGCCGUCGCUCAACGGAUAAAAGGUACCUUAGGGAUAACAGGCUGAUCACGCCCAAGAGUUCAUAUCGACGGCGUGGUUUGGCACCUCGAUGUCGGCUCGUCGCAUCCUGGGGCUGGAGAAGGUCCCAAGGGUCCGGCUGUUCGCCGGUUAAAGCGGCACGCGAGCUGGGUUCAGAACGUCGCGAGACAGUUCGGUCCUCUAUCCUCUGUGGGCGUUGGAAAAUUGAGGGGUUCAGACCUUAGUACGAGAGGACCGGGUCUGACGCACCACUGGUGCACCGGUUGUAUUGUCAAAUGCACGGCCGGGUAGCUAAGUGCGGAAGGAAUAAGCGCUGAAAGCAUCUAAGCGCCAAGUCCCUCCCAAGAUGAAUUUUCCCCAUAGGAACGUGGAAGACGACCACGUCGAUAGGUCGCAGGUGGAAGCGCAGCAAUGUGUUGAGCCGAGCGAUACUAAACUCCGAAAGACUUGAUU